rnacentral:rRNA from 1 species
GAUGAACGCUGGCGGCGUGCCUAAUACAUGCAAGUCGAGCGAACAGACGAGGAGCUUGCUCCUCUGACGUUAGCGGCGGACGGGUGAGUAACACGUGGAUAACCUACCUAUAAGACUGGGAUAACUUCGGGAAACCGGAGCUAAUACCGGAUAAUAUAUUGAACCGCAUGGUUCAAUAGUGAAAGACGGUUUUGCUGUCACUUAUAGAUGGAUCCGCGCCGCAUUAGCUAGUUGGUAAGGUAACGGCUUACCAAGGCAACGAUGCGUAGCCGACCUGAGAGGGUGAUCGGCCACACUGGAACUGAGACACGUCCCAGACUCCUACGGGAGGCAGAAGUAGGGAAUCUUCCGCAAUGGGCGAAAGCCUGACGGAGCAACGCCGCGUGAGUGAUGAAGGUCUUCGGAUCGUAAAACUCUGUUAUUAGGGAAGAACAAAUGUGUAAGUAACUAUGCACGUCUUGACGGUACCUAAUCAGAAAGCCACGGCUAACUACGUG